rnacentral:rRNA from 1 species
AACUGAAGAGUUUGAUCAUGGCUCAGAUUGAACGCUGGCGGCAGGCUUAACACAUGCAAGUCGAGCGGGGGAAGGUAGCUUGCUACUGGACCUAGCGGCGGACGGGUGAGUAAUGCUUAGGAAUCUGCCUAUUAGUGGGGGACAACAUCUCGAAAGGGAUGCUAAUACCGCAUACGUCCUACGGGAGAAAGCAGGGGAUCUUCGGACCUUGCGCUAAUAGAUGAGCCUAAGUCGGAUUAGCUAGUUGGUGGGGUAAAGGCCUACCAAGGCGACGAUCUGUAGCGGGUCUGAGAG